rnacentral:rRNA from 1 species
GCACAAGCGGUGGAGCAUGUUGUUUAAUUCGAAGCAACGCGAAGAACCUUUACCAGGUCUUGACAUCCCGAUGCUUAUUUCUAGAGAUAGAAAGUUACUUCGGUACAUCGGUGACAGGUGGUGCAUGGUUGUCGUCAGCUCGUGUCGUGAGAUGUUGGGUUAAGUCCCGCAACGAGCGCAACCCCUAUUGUUAGUUGCCAUCAUUCAGUUGGGCACUCUAGCGAGACUGCCGGUAAUAACCGGAGAAGUGGGGAUGACGUCAAAUCAUCAUGCCCCUUAUGACCUGGGCUACACACGUGCUACAAUGGUUGGUACAACGAGUUGCGAGUCGGUGACGGCGAGCUAAUCUCUUAAAGCCAAUCUCAGUUCGGAUUGUAGGCUGCAACUCGCCUACAUGAAGUCGGAAUCGCUAGUAAUCGCGGAUCAGCACGCCGCGGUGAAUACGUUCCCGGGCCUU